AGGUCAAGCUACAAAGGGCGCAUGGUGAAUGCCUUGGCACUAGGAGCCGAAGAAGGACGCGAUAAGCUGCGAUAAGCUUUGGGUAGCCGCAAAUAGGCUGAGAUCCAAGGAUUUCCGAAUGAGGAAACUCACAUGGGUAACCCCAUGUAUCAUGCACUGAAUACAUAGGUGUAUGAGGGUAAACCCGGGGAACUGAAACAUCUAAGUACCCGGAGGAAGAGAAAGAAAAAUCGAU
rnacentral:rRNA from 2 species